rnacentral:lncRNA from 1 species
GUCUUGUUAUAGCCCUGGAGUUGCUUGCCAAAUAUGUCAGUUUCUCCAUCUUCUUUACACAAGCAACAGAGAACCAUUGAACGAUGGAAGACCAAACUAAGAUAAUUGUGCUUUGGACAGAAAGAAGUGGGAGAAUUGAUAAGCAUUGUUGUGUUGAUUUUUCUGCUCUGCUGGUGGAAUUGGCAAUAUCGCCCUGCAUUUCUAAU